rnacentral:rRNA from 1 species
GACGAACGCUGGCGGCGUGCUUAAUACAUGCAAGUCGAACGGAAAGGCCCUGCUUUUGUGGGGUGCUCGAGUGGCGAACGGGUGAGUAACACGUGAGUAACCUGCCCUUGACUUUGGGAUAACUUCAGGAAACUGGGGCUAAUACCGGAUAGGAGCUCCUGCUGCAUGGUGGGGGUUGGAAAGUUUCGGCGGUUAGGGAUGGACUCGCGGCUUAUCAGCUUGUUGGUGGGGUAGUGGCUUACCAAGGCUUUGACGGGUAGCCGGCCUGAGAGGGUGACCGGCCACAUUGGGACUGAGAUACGGCCCAGACUCCUACGGGAGGCAGCAGUGGGGAAUAUUGCACAAUGGGCGGAAGCCUGAUGCAGCAACGCCGCGUGCGGGAUGACGGCCUUCGGGUUGUAAACCGCUUUCGCCUGUGACGAAGCGUGAGUGACGGUAAUGGGUAAAGAAGCACCGGCUAACUACGUG